GCCCGUCACACCAUGGGAGUUGGUUUCACCCGAAGGCAGUGCGCUAACCGCAAGGAGGCAGCUGACCACGGUGGGAUCAGCGACUGGGGUG
rnacentral:rRNA from 1 species